AGUGAACGCUGGCGGUAGGCCUAACACAUGCAAGUCGAACGGCAGCACAGUAAGAGCUUGCUCUUACGGGUGGCGAGUGGCGGACGGGUGAGGAAUACAUCGGAAUCUACUUUUUCGUGGGGGAUAACGUAGGGAAACUUACGCUAAUACCGCAUACGACCUACGGGUGAAAGCAGGGGAUCUUCGGACCUUGCGCGAUUGAAUGAGCCGAUGUCGGAUUAGCUAGUUGGCGGGGUAAAGGCCCACCAAGGCGACGAUCCGUAGCUUGUCUGAGAGGAUGAUCGGCCACACUGGAACUGAGACACGGUCAAGACUCCUCCGGGAGGCAGCAGUGGGGAAUAUUGGACAAUGGGGGCAAGCCUGAUCCAGCCAGACCGCGUAGGUGAAGAAGGCCUUCGGGUUGUAAAGCCCUUUUGUUGGGAAAGAAAAGCAGCAGGUUAAUACCCCGCUGUUCUGACGGUACCCAAAGAAUAAGCACCGGCUAACUUCGUG
rnacentral:rRNA from 1 species